rnacentral:sRNA from 1 species
CUUGCAAAAGCUUGUGAACUCUGUCCAGAAGAGGUAAAAAAAAAAAAGGCUACCAAUGGACAGCAGAUGGAAAUGGGAAAAAGAAAAGUAUUUUUUUAAUGUGUAGGCCCAUGUUUAUUAAUAUUGUGCUUAAAAAAAUCAUGUGCAGUUUUGUUUGCUUUAAUGGUUAGCUUGAUUUGUUUGAUCUUAAGUUAACAAAGGAGUUUCCUUUUAGAAAAAAUUUCUGUGAAAUUGUCUAAAAAUCACAUACCUGAGAGAAUUCAGAUAUUCUUUUGUUUGUUUUUUGUCUUUGUUUGCUUUUUCUUUUUCUUUCUUUCUUUUUUUUUUUUUUUUUUUUUUUUUUGACACAGAGUCUCACCCUAUUGCCCAGGCUGCUGCAGCGGCGCGAUCUCGGCUCACUGCAACCCCCACCUCUCAGGUUCAAGAAAUUCUUCUGCCUCAGCCUCCCGAGUAGCUGGGAUUACAGGCAGCCACCACCAUGCCUGGCUAAUUUUUGUAUUUUUAAUAGAGACAAGAUUUCAGCAUGUUGGCCAGGCUGGUCUCAAAUCUUGACCUUAAGUGAUCCACCUGCCUGGCCUCCCAAAGUGCUGAGAUUAUAAGCAUGAGCCACUGCACCCGGCCUGUUUUCUUAUAUUUUAAAUUAUUUGCAGUAAAUGCAAAGAUGUUAAAGAGGCCAGCUUUGUGCAUUUUUUAAAAGUUUAUUCUAAAUGAAGGAAAUUAAAUAUAAAUUUGAAGUUACUUUUAUAAUCUAAUGCUUAAUCUCUUUAAAUAUUUAAAAUUAGGAGCCAGAUGACCAGGAUGCCCCAGAUGAGCAUGAGCCCUCUCCAUCAGAAGAUGCCCCAUUAUAUCCUCAUUCACCUGCCUCUCAGUAUCAACAGAAUAAUCAUGUACAUGGACAGCCAUAUACAGGACCAGCAGCACAUCACUUGAACAACCCUCAGAAAACCGGCCAACGAACACCAGAAAAUUAUGAAGGCAAUGAAGAAGUAUCCUCACCUCAGAUGAAGGAUCAGUGAAAAGCAAUAAUUAACUGCUUCCUUUAUGACCAUGCACUAAGGUCUUACAGUCCAAACUUUCUCCAUGUCUGGCUAGUAUUGAAAACUAGAUAAACUGCUCCAAACCAACAUGGAGUAAAGAGCAUAUUCACUGUCUCAUUUGCAGUAAUCUGCAAUUUGUCAGUGUAUAAGACACAUGCAGGGUGAAGUGUACAGAGUUUUGUAACAAAUGACUGGUCCUAAUCUGUAAAUGAGAAAGGUAUAUAUACUAUGUUAAUGUCUGACUAUUAAUUCUUAAGCAAGAAACUGUUUUUGAUGAAAAUAAGUCAGAUCUACACAGUCACACAAUUAUUUUUUGUUGUGUUCACUACAUUGUGCAAUUGAUAUUGCCUGCUUUGAGCAGUUUGGUCAACUUACCAACUUCCCCCCAAAAAAGGGAACAUAAAAGAGCCCAUCUUUGUCAGUUUACACCAAUAGUUUCUUGUUAAUCCUUCUUUCCUGGAUAUAUAAGGCUGGUGGUAACUUUUGAAUUAUAUGGUUGAUGUGGAAAAUUGGCAGUGUAACAUUUCUAGAUACUUUUCAUUACCUUUUUAUUCUGGUAUAUAGGCUAACCACUUUAAAGUUAUUCUUAUGCUGUAACAGUUAGCAUGGCUUCACACUGUUUGUGUAGCCAAGAGGACAGAAUUACAUGAAUGACAGUGCCCAGAGUGACAGCUGUAUAUUGCUCAGAGCUUUUAUUUCUUAUACCUAGAAUAAAUAUAAAAUGGGGGGAAAAUGUGACAGACAAGCAGUUUUUCAUUGCAUACAUGUUCUUCACAUUUAAUGUUUGAUAGUUCAAUUUCUUGAUGAGCUGAAGAAUAUCAAAGUAUCGAUAAUAGGAAUUUUAAAAUAUUAAAACCAAUACGCAAAAUUUUCCUAUGUCAGAAUGUGGUGGAGCAUAAUAGAUUGUAUUUGGUGUGCUUGCGAUUUUUUUUUCCAUAGAAUUUAUUAAGUGAAGUUUCUAAAACUUUGCUUCUCCUGAUCCCGGUGAAGUGUACAUCAUAAGAAUCCACAGUACUUUGAAGUACCAUUGCACCAAGAUGUCUGACUGAAUUCGUAGUCACACUUUUAUUUGAAAGAAAGAAUUGUUGUAGUUUUUUUUCAUUAUUCUAAAACUCUUGUUGUUAGAUACAAGAUUUAAUUAAGAUCUAAGCUCUUGCUUAUUUAAUGUAAUUCUAAGGUACCAUUUUAGAAAAAACGUUUGUUUUAAGAUUCCAAGAAACCUGUGAGUUAAUACUAUAUUUAAAAGAGAAUUGGUAAAUUUUGAAUGUGUGUAAUAUUUUGGAACCUGUUUAAAAACCAAAUAUACCUGCAAAUAGAUACAGCCUAUCCUAUACUAUUUAAAUGUUUGGCUGUUUUGUUUUAUAGAAAUUAUUUUGCUGAAUUCACAAAUAAAAUUUAAGAAGA